rnacentral:rRNA from 1 species
AACCGGAUUAGAUACCCUGGUAGUCCACGCCGUAAACGAUGUCGACUUGGAGGCUGUUCCCUUGAGGAGUGGCUUCCGGAGCUAACGCGUUAAGUCGACCGCCUGGGGAGUACGGCCGCAAGGUUAAAACUCAAAUGAAUUGACGGGGGCCCGCACAAGCGGUGGAGCAUGUGGUUUAAUUCGAUGCAACGCGAAGAACCUUACCUACUCUUGACAUCCAGAGAAUUUAGCAGAGAUGCUUUAGUGCCUUCGGGAACUCUGAGACAGGUGCUGCAUGGCUGUCGUCAGCUCGUGUUGUGAAAUGUUGGGUUAAGUCCCGCAACGAGCGCAACCCUUAUCCUUUGUUGCCAGCACGUAAUGGUGGGAACUCAAAGGAGACUGCCGGUGAUAAACCGGAGGAAGGUGGGGAUGACGUCAAGUCAUCAUGGCCCUUACGAGUAGGGCUACACACGUGCUACAAUGGCGCAUACAAAGAGAAGCGACCUCGCGAGAGCAAGCGGACCUCAUAAAGUGCGUCGUAGUCCGGAUUGGAGUCUGCAACUCGACUCCAUGAAGUCGGAAUCGCUAGUAAUCGUAAAUCAGAAUGUUACGGUGAAUACGUUCCCGGGCCUUGUACACACCGCCCGUCACACCAUGGGAGUGGGUUGCAAAAGAAGUAGAUAGCUUAGCCUUCGGGAGGGCGUUUACCACUUUGUGAUUCAUGACUGGGGUGAAGUCGUAACAAGGUAACCGUAGGGGAACCUGCGGCUGGAUCACCUCCUU